GUGUCAGCCGCCGCGGUAAUACGUAGGGUCCAAGCGUUAUCCGGAAUCACUGGGCGUAAAGCGUGCGUAGGUGGCGUGUUAAGUGUGAUGUUAAAUCGUGUGGCUCAACCAUAUCGAUGUGUCGCAUACUGGCAUGCUAGAGGGAAGCAGAGGCAAGUGGAAUUUGUAGUGUAGCAGUGAAAUGCGUAGAUAUUACAAGGAACACCAAUGGCGAAGGCAGCUUGCUGGGCUUCUUCUGACACUGAGGUACGAAAGCGUGGGGAGCGAACAGGAUUAGAUACCCUCGUAGUCC
rnacentral:rRNA from 1 species